rnacentral:rRNA from 1 species
GUGAGGAAUAUUGGUCAAUGGACGAGAGUCUGAACCAGCCAAGUCGCGUGAAGGAAGACGGUUCUAUGAAUUGUAAACUUCUUUUGCAGGGGAAUAAAGUACGGUACGUGUAUCGUUUUGUAUGUACUCUGCGAAUAAGGAUCGGCUAACUCCGUGCCAGCAGCCGCGGUAAUACGGAGGAUCCAAGCGUUAUCCGGAUUUAUUGGGUUUAAAGGGUGCGCAGGCGGGUUGAUAAGUCAGCGGUGAAAGUUUGCAGCUUAACUGUAAAAUUGCCGUUGAAACUGUCGAUCUUGAGUGCAAAUGAGGUAAGCGGAAUGUGUUGUGUAGCGGUGAAAUGCUUAGAUAUAACACAGAACACCGAUUGCGAAGGCAGCUUACUGGGAUGCAACUGACGCUCAUGCACGAAAGCGUGGGGAUCAAACAGGAUUAGAAACCCCUGUAGUCC